rnacentral:rRNA from 1 species
UACGAAGGGGGCUAGCGUUGCUCGGAAUGACUGGGCGUAAAGGGCGCGUAGGCGGUUUGGACAGUCAGAUGUGAAAUUCCUGGGCUCAACCUGGGGGCUGCAUUUGAUACGUUCGGACUAGAGUGGGGAAGAGGGUCGUGGAAUUCCCAGUGUAGAGGUGAAAUUCGUAGAUAUUGGGAAGAACACCGGUGGCGAAGGCGGCGACCUGGUCCUUGACUGACGCUGAGCGCGAAGCGUAGGGAGC